GGGGAAUAUUGCGCAAUGGGGGGAACCCUGACGCAGCAACGCCGCGUGAGUGAAGAAGGUUUUCGGAUCGUAAAGCUCUGUCAUCGGGGACGAAGAAUGACGGUACCCGAAGAGGAAGCCCCGGCUAACUACGUGCCAGCAGCCGCGGUAAUACGUAGGGGGCGAGCGUUGUCCGGAAUUACUGGGCGUAAAGGGUGCGUAGGCGGCCUGAUAAGUCAGAUGUGAAAUACCAGGGCUUAACCCUGGGGGUGCAUUUGAAACUGUCGGGCUUGAGUGCAGGAGAGGAAAGCGGAAUUCCUAGUGUAGCGGUGAAAUGCGUAGAUAUUAGGAGGAACACCAGUGGCGAAGGCGGCUUUCUGGACUGUAACUGACGCUGAGGCACGAAAGCGUGGGUAGCGAAC
rnacentral:rRNA from 1 species